UCGGAUAGCUCAAAGGUAGAGCACCAGUCUGUGAAACUGGCUGUUACAGGUUCGAUUCCUGUUCCGAUCCA
rnacentral:tRNA from 1 species